GUUGUCGGAUUCACUUCAACCCAUGUGUAUUGGUGUGGGUUAGGGUGGAAUUUAGUUUAAAUUCCACUCCAUCCACCUCAACACAUGUGGAUUGAUGUGAAUCCGACU
rfam:Sorghum bicolor cultivar BTx623 chromosome 2, whole genome shotgun sequence.